rnacentral:tRNA from 1 species
GUCGGAGUGGUGGAACUGGCAGACACGCUAGAUUCAGGAUCUAGUGAGGAAACUUGUAGGGGUUCAAAUCCCCUCUCCGACA